rnacentral:rRNA from 1 species
UACGUAGGGGGCAAGCGUUGUCCGGAUUUACUGGGCGUAAAGAGCACGUAGGCGGAUUGUUAAGUCAGGGGUGAAAUCCUGGAGCUCAACUCCAGAACUGCCUUUGAUACUGGCAAUCUUGAGUCCGGAAGAGGUGAGUGGAACUCCUAGUGUAGAGGUGGAAUUCGUAGAUAUUAGGAAGAACACCAGUGGCGAAGGCGGCUCACUGGUCCGGUACUGACGCUGAGGUGCGAAAGCGUGGGGAGCAAACAGG